GUCAACUACCCACCGCUUAUAGAAGCGGAGGCUUGUAAAAAGCCUUAGUUGACUACUCUCAGCCACCAGCAAUACGCUGACGGGGCUACGUUAGACAGGUUAUGACACCCUGGGAUGCUGCUCAAGUUCCAGGCUCUGUC
rnacentral:sRNA from 20 species